CACCGCCCUCAUGGGAAUCACAACCCAAAGUGGCCCCACACAGGCAACAAAUUUCGGGAGCUAGUCACAGACCCAGACAGAUAAGAGGGCACGACCCCACAGGCUUCGCCCCGAGAGAGACCCUGGGAGUCAUGCAGCCAAGGAGGCCUUCUGGGAGGAGGCGGUGGGAUGCAUGGAAUUUGGUGUCACCCAUCGACCAGGUGUGAAGCUGAAGCCUAGACAGAGGCCGUGACGUAGAGAGAGGGGCAGUUCUGAGAUGUGUCCGAGAGCGUCUGGUCCCUCCCUGAGGCCCUGUCCCUGAGGCCCUGGGGACCGAGAGGAAAGCCUCCAAAACUACCAACCCCGCCAGCUUUGAGCACAAUGUGAGGGGUGUAAUGUGAAGUCCGUCCACUUGUCCGUCUUCCAGGGGAGUCGUGUUCUCAACCCUGUCGGCAUUUUUACCACGCAGUUAAGGCAAGUGUCACAUGUGCUGCCGGUAAGAAUGUCAGCACGCACAUGUUGCGUUCCCCACUUUUAACGACAAGCUAGCAUGCAUCGAAGAUGGUUCCUGUAUCAAACGCAUCGUCUGUGUCUUGAGCUCUGCUGUGCUCUCCUGAGAGAGGACACAGGCUGGAGAUUGCAGAGGACGCUGUUUGGCCCUUCUUCUGGUUUCACCUUGAGGAUGACCUUGGGCUGACCAUCAAGGCCUCCUGACCUUUCUUGCCAAGAGGCCGGUGGAGGACUAGUUAGGUCCGUGAGACUGGCUCCCCCUUUGACUUUGAAUAUAGGACAGUAACUGAAGGACAAGCAGAGCCCAUCCACAGCCAGCUCACCUGACUGGGUCUUGUCCACCAGCCGUGUCCCGGCCUGGCCAACUCAACUGGUCCUCGGAGAAGCCUUCCCUGACCUCCCGGGCCGCGGCCUCCUGCACUUGCUGUCUGCACAGCCCUAGUCAGAGGUGUGUGAUGGUUGGAGGUCUGUAUCCCACCCCCAGCGUCUCCUGAGGUCAGAGCCCUGCACCCCAGGCCUCGUGGGCACGCCGUGGGCACCUUACGCUUUGUUGAAAGAAGAGGCUGUAGAAUCUGAGGGCUUCGCCUCCAAUCUCAUCAGCUCUGCCGCAGUCCUAGGUGUGUGACAGUCACAAUUGUCCCCCCGCCCCCACACUCAGCACUGCUCUGCCCACCAGAGGACACGGGGGCUGUCCUGACGUCUCCCCUCUCACCUCCCUAUUGGAACUUGAAAUCCUGGGCACUUGCAUCUGCCAUGAUCCCAGAGGAACUUGGCUCGUUUACUGGUCACCUUAGUUUCAGGUUUGGGGCUGUUCUGUGCAUUAUUUGGUUUACCUGUCAGCAAACCCCCAGGCAGCUCCCAUCCUCGCGGUCCCCGUCCACCAGGCAGCAGGGCGUCCCCCAUCCGCUGUGCCCUGUGCUGCUGUCAGACCUCCACAAACCCGCUUGUGCACCAGCGCCCUCCCCUGCAAAGCAAGGACUCGGCUCCACUGGGUGGCUGAGACCACGAGCACACAGGUUCCUUCCCACCUGUGCGUCACACACCGGCCUUCCCAUUCCUUCAGCUUGCGGCUCAAGGCUCAGGGCCUCUUCACCGUCGUCUAGUCCAAGGCCACGGAGGCACAGAGUUGCUGAGUUGCCGAGCACGUGGCCGGCUCACACGGAUGUUAAGUGGAGCUCAGAUGCACCCCGAGGCCAGCACACUGGACGAGAGAGUGCUGUGGGGACAACCAGGCCGGGAGUGGCUAAGAUGAGAGCGUUGCAGGGCAGCCCCAGUUCCGGUAACUCAGAUCCCUGAAGAGCAAGGGGUCCAGGCUGGCUAAGCAGAUUGAACAGGACACGUGGGGUGACAAUGGAGAGGCAGGCAGGGGCCCGGAGUGCCGGUUGGAAGAAUUCCAGGGACAUGGGGCACCACUGAGGGAUUCGGCCCGGGGCGUGAUGUGGUCAGAGCCGCGUCUCAGACCCCUGCAGUGGUUCCUGGGUGCUCCUGCCAGUGGUGGCUCCAUGCGUCUCCCUCUCCCCAAGCUGCUUGGGAGCUGAGAUGAGCUUUUCCUUCUAAAUACCUCAGUGUCGCAAGUUAGCCCAUUUCCUAGUUAUGGAGGCUUAACUGGUGUUUGCUUUCAUCACGUGAUCAGACACCCCACAGCGGUGACCCUUACUGUGCGUCUGCCCCAGGGGGACCCAAAGCACCUGUCUCGGCCUUUUGUCACUUCCCAAUGGAAAGGUGACUGCACCCCGCUUUACGUGGGUUUGUGCUUGGAGACUUGAGCCCUUCCUUAAGAAAACCUUUAUGGUUCCUGCCGCUCGUGUCGUCAUCACAGAAGUGGUCCCCAUCCCAAGGCACUGAAAAAUGUUUAAUGUUGGGGCUUCCUUUCUUACACAGAAUCUUUGCCUCCUAGGGAUUUUUCUUCUCAAUAAAAAAGUGUUAUUUUUAUUAAAAUCAAAAAACAGUCAGCCUCCUCAUCUACUAGGUUGUCAGACACAAAAGGCUACAUAAGGCAGGAUUCCACUUAUAUGAAAAAUCCAGACGAGAUAAGCACCUGGAGACAGAGAGAUUGGUGCCCAUCAGGGGCUCGGGGGGAGGACGGGCUGGCUACUAGGUACGGGGUUUGUCUUUGAUGAGAACGUUCCAGAACUAUAGCGUGGCCGUGAUAUGACGUGGCGGCUGCAAGAGACGGCGAAUGUGCUCAACUGCCGCUAGAAUGUACACUUGGAAGG